AUUGAACGCUGGCGGCAUGCCUUACACAUGCAAGUCGAACGGUAACGGGUCCUUCGGGAUGCCGACGAGUGGCGAACGGGUGAGUAAUAUAUCGGAACGUGCCCAGUAGUGGGGGAUAACUGCUCGAAAGAGCAGCUAAUACCGCAUACGACCUGAGGGUGAAAGGGGGGGAUCGCAAGACCUCUCGCUAUUGGAGCGGCCGAUAUCAGAUUAGCUAGUUGGUGGGGUAAAGGCCUACCAAGGCAACGAUCUGUAGUUGGUCUGAGAGGACGACCAGCCACACUGGGACUGAGACACGGCCCAGACUCCUACGGGAGGCAGCAGUGGGGAAUUUGGACAAUGGGCGCAAGCCUGAUCCAGCAAUGCCGCGUGCAGGAAGAAGGCCUUCGGGUUGUAAACUGUCUUUUGUCAGGGAAGAAAUACUUCUGGGCUAAUACCCCGGGAGGAUGACGUACCUGAAGAAUAAGCACCGGCUAACUACGUGCCAGCGCCGCGGUAAUACG
rnacentral:rRNA from 1 species